rnacentral:rRNA from 1 species
CCUACGGGAGGCUGCAGUCGAGAAUCAUUCACAAUGGGGGAAACCCUGAUGGUGCGACGCCGCGUGGGGGAAUGAAGGUCUUCGGAUUGUAAACCCCUGUCAUGUGGGAGCAAAUUAAAAAGAUAGUACCACAAGAGGAAGAGACGUCUAACUCGGUGCCAGCAGCCGCGGUAAUACAGAGGUCUCAAGCGUUGUUCGGAAUCACUGGGCGUAAGGCGUGUGUAGGCUGUUUCGUAAGUCGUGUGUGAAAGGCGCGGGCUCAACCCGCGGACGGCACAUGAUACUGCGAGACUAGAGUAAUGGAGGGGGAACCGGAAUUCUCGGUGUAGCAGUGAAAUGCGUAGAUAUCGAGAGGAACACUCGCGGCGAAGGCGGGUUCCUGGACAUUAACUGACGCUGAGGCACGAAGGCCAGGGGAGCGAAAGGGAUUAGAUACCCCAGUAGUC